UUCGUGUGAACAGUGGUUGAUCACGAGUUAGUCGGUCCUAAGUUCAAGGCGAAAGCCGAAAAUUUUCAAGUAAAGAUAUGUCAUUUAUAUAUAUAUACAAAUUUUUAUACACUUGAAUAAUUUUGAACGAAAGGGAAUACGGUUCCAAUUCCGUAACCUGUUGAGUAUCCGUUUGUUAUUAAAUAUGGGCCUCGUGCUCAUCCUGGUAACAGGAACGACCAUAAAGAAGCCGUCGAGAGAUAUCGGAAGAGUUUUCUUUUCUGUUUUAUAGCCGUACUACCAUGGAAGUCUUUCGCAGAGAGAUAUGGUAGAUGGGCUAGAAGAGCAUGACAUAUACUGUUGUGUCGAUAUUUUCUCCUCGGACCUUGAAAAUUUAUGGUGGGGAUACGCAAACUUCUCAACAGGCCGUACCAAUAUCCGCAGCUGGUCUCCAAGGUGAAGAGUCUCUAGUCGAUAGAAUA
rnacentral:rRNA from 1 species